CCGGUUGUAUUCCGAAGAAGCUUGGGCUGGAGGUGAGCGUUGGUUGCUGUAAUAAAUUUAAUUAGUACGCUCGAAAAGCCCAAAGGAUAAGAUUUUGCUCGUUAGCGAUCGGAUUCGGGAUCAUUAAAGUCGAAGUCAUCUACACUAUCAAAGCCUCCAUUUUGGUAUAAUUUUGGUUGAACUUUGAAAUGGCAUGUAUAGGACUACCCUAUUGUUGAAGGUCAUGUACCUUUCGGUUUUGUGUAAACUUGGAUAGCCAUGCGAAAAUGGCUUAUAUACGUUUUUGGUAUGAUACUAUAAUCGUUGUAUGUUGAUCAUUAUGGGGUAUGGAAUUGUUUUGAGAAGAUUAGCCAUUGGAAUGGUUAAUCAUGAUCCACUUUGUGCUAUGUAUGCAAAGAGGGGCAAUUGAAUCGUGGAAAUCAUGAAAUAGGUAAAGGUUACCUUGAAAACAGAUGCUGGCAGCAGCAGUGGUGUGGUUUUGAAAAAUCACCAAAAAUUGUAGGAAUGGUAUUAAAUAGUGAAUAAGUUAUGUGAAUGAA